AUACGUAGGAUCCGAGCGUUGUCCGGAAUUACUGGGUGUAAAGGGCGUGUAGGUGGAUUUCUAAGUCGGUGGUGAAAUCCUGCAGCUCAACUGCAGAAUUGCCUUCGAUACUGGGAAUCUUGAGUGCGGCAGAGGGAGAUGGAAUUCAUGGUGUAGCGGUGAAAUGUGUAGAUAUCAUGAAGAACACCGGUAGCGAAGGCGGUCUCCUGGUCCGCAACUGACACUGAUGCGCGAAAGCGUGGGGAGCAAACAGGAUUAGAUACCCUGGUAGUCCACGCCUUAAACGAUGGGUACUCGGUGCUGGGCCGCAAGGUUCAGUGCCAAAGCUAACGCAUUAAGUACCCCACCUGGGGAGUACGAUCGCAAGGUUGAA
rnacentral:rRNA from 1 species